ACGGCCAUCCCUAGGCGAAAACACCAGUUCCCGUCCGAUCACUGCAGUUAAGCGUCUGAGGGCCUCGUUAGUACUAUGGUUGGAGACAACAUGGGAAUCCGGGGUGCUGUAGGCU
rnacentral:rRNA from 1 species